UGGUAGCAGUAGCGGUGGUAA
rnacentral:miRNA from 2 species